AGAAUUGGUACUAGUAAGGCGACGAUCGGCAUUUCUGUAGCUGCUGCUGCUACAACUUCAGAUUCAACACCAAUUUAGAAAAGACCGUCCCGCCAUCAUGUAACGUAACAAUAAAGCAAGCAACAAAACCAAUCCUCCGUAUCGCAAUUAUCGUCAACAGGCACGCACAUGUCUAUCAGGCACGCAUUCGCCGCCUGCUGUACUGUUACUGUACUAUUGGGAAAUCAAGGAAGAUACUGCGCUUUCCGGAGACCUUAUCGGUUCAGUGGAAGGCGAAUCUAAACGAUAACUUACCACAGACACUUCUUUGCUAAUGGAUACUUCUGUUUCCAACAUGACCAUGAAUGCCUCUUUUGGUCUAUGAUAGAAAGGUCGAUCGUCAAAUAUAGAGGAGUGAGAAACAGGUUGUUUAAUAUUAAUGUCUAGUCAUAGACGAAGUAAAACGUUUCGAUUUGAUGGACAAACUCUUAACUACUACCAUUUCAAGCGAAGAAAAAAAAAAAAAAGA